UCAGAUUUGAUCAUCCUCUGCAUAGACCCAACCGAAGUAUCUCCACUUCAUCUUCUUCCCCUACAAUGACACAACCCCACUUCAUUGUGAUAACCUAUCCGGCACAAGGCCACAUCAACCCUUCUCUCCAACUGGCUAAGCGCCUCAUACGUGUUGGUGCCCAUGUCACAUUCGUCACUAGCACCUAUGCCAGUGAGCGCAUGGCCAAAACCCCAACCAUGGAUGGGUUAAAAUUCGUCACAUUCCCGGAUGGCUGCGACAGUGGCCUCAAGCAAAGCGAUGCCCUCCAAGGCUUCAUGUCUGAGCUUGAGCGUCUUGGCUCCCAAGCUCUUACCGACCUCCUCAUAGCCAGCGCUAAUGAAGGUCGUCCCGUUGCUUGCAUAAUCUACGGCAUCCUGAUUCCUUGGGUAGCAGAGGUGGCGCAUAGUCUUCACAUCCCCUCCGCACUUUUUUGGAGUCAACCUGUCUCUGUUUUUAAUAUCUAUUAUUAUUAUUUUUGUGGCUAUGGAGAGCUCAUUCGCAAGAAAGUCCGUGACUCCUCGCCUUCCAUUGAAUUACCAGGACUGCCCUUGCUCAGUAGCCGUGACAUUCCCUGUUUCCUACUCCCCUCAAAUGCAAAUGAAUACAACUUCGUCCUUUCAGCGUUUGAGAAGCACCUAGAGAUGCUCCACCGUGAUACCAACCCAACGGUACUGAUAAACACUUUCGAUGCAUUGGAACCAGAGGCCCUAAGGGCCGUCAGUAAGUUUAAGUCGAUUGGAGUUGGACCCUUGUUUCCAACCGCUUUCUUGGGUGGAAAAGAUCCAUCCGAUACUUCAUUUGGAGGUGAUCUUUUCCGUCGUUCAAAGGAUUAUAUUGAAUGGCUGAACUCAAAGCCUGAAUCUUCUGUCAUUUACGUGUCAUUUGGAAGCCUAGCGGUGUUAUCGAAGCAACAGUCUGAGGAGAUUGCUCGUGGAUUGCUGGACAGUGGCCGGCCUUUCCUGUGGGUCAUAAGAGCCAAGGAGAAGGGAGAAGAAGAGAAAGAAGAAGAUAAACUAAGUUGCUACGCAGAAUUAGAACAACAAGGGAUGAUAGUACCAUGGUGUUCUCAGGUUGAGGUUCUCUCAAAUCCAUCACUGGGUUGUUUCGUGACUCAUUGUGGGUGGAAUUCAACCUUGGAGAGCUUGGCUUCUGGGGUGCCAGUUGUGGCAUUUCCUCAGUGGACCGACCAAUCCACGAAUGCAAAGCUAGCCGAAGACGUGUGGAAAACGGGUGUACGGGUGACCGUGAACCAAGAAGGAAUAGUUGAAAGCGAUGAGAUUAAGAGGUGCUUGGAAUUGGUCAUGGGAGAUGGAGAGGAGGCGAAAGAAAUGAGAAGGAAUGCAAAGAAAUGGAAGGGUUUGGCAAGGGAGGCUGUGAUGGAAGGUGGAUCAUCUGACAAGAAUCUUAAGAAUUUUAUGGAUGAGGUCAUACAAGGUUACUAGCUAGAUAUUGUGGUUGUAUCUCUUGGAGUUUAUGUUAAGACUCCCCGAUUAAUUUAAAUAUUUUACAAGAAGAUUUUUAUUAUUUAUGAUGUUAAUACAAGUAGUAGUAUUAAUUAAUGGUAGAGGGCAUAUCUAAAAUUAUGGGAGAUUCAUUGCUUCCUGAAGGCCCUAUCACAAAGGAUCUGUCAAAUGCGUGGCUAAGGUGCUGUUUGGUAAAUGUCCGUUACCAGCCAAAAUUUUGCAAUUAUUGCUAAUGGGAAUCAGGGAAACCCCAAACUGGCCUUGAUGGUCCUUGCGUAAAGACCCAUCCAAUUCUUUACAUUGUGGCCACUGAUUUGGUGUCUUAUCCUCUCAUGCCCAUCACUUCAUGUUUACAAAUUGAUAUUGUAUUCAUAGCUAUUUUUGAUGAAGGUUCAAUUGGCAAGAAGUAUUUUUGCCUUGGGAAGAUGUUGGUUAUGGAUUCAAAGCAAAAUAACAGAUUAAAAAAAUGAUCCUUGUACAAAUUUUUGGGUGCCUCUAUUAAUUAAGUGAAUAUUAUUAUUUAAUUGAUAAAUUAAUAAUUUAUUAAUUUAAUUACUUAUUAAUUAAAUCUCUGGAAUAAUUCUAUUAUGGAACCUAUCUUGCACUAAGAAGCAUCCAUAGCGAUAAUAAUAUUAAAUAAAUUUUUGUUAUAGUACGAGAAUGUUACAUCAGACCUUUUUUUUUUUUUUUUUUUUUUCAUAUUAGGAAUAGUUGAAGAUGAGAUUCAAGUAAACAUCAGUUUUAAGAAGAAAUAACACAUAUAUUUUAAGAAGGAUUCUUGAUAAAACAUAUGAAUUUAAUUACACAUUAGAAAAUUAUUAAUUUCUAUAAUAUGUGGAUUUUAUAUGAAACUACAUAGAUUUUUUAUUUUAUAAAUUUAUCAAAUUAUUAGUUUAGCACGGUGGCCCCAAGUUUAGAUUAAUUAAAAAAAAUUAAUUGAAGUUCUUAAUUAAUUAAAUAUUAAAUUAUUAUAAAGUUUUAUUGUAUUUUAUUUUCAUGGUUCUAAAAAUUGGAUUGAACUAGUCGAUUUGAUUGGUUUGAGCAUUGAUUGACUAUGUAUUUUACAUAUGAGAUCGAUUAUGAGUUGCACUUUCAUCCCAAGGUAUUUUAAAAUUAGGAAAAUCAAUCCCAAGGUAUCUAUUUUUCUUUUCUUAGUCUAUUCACUAUUGUCCAAACACUCCAUAUGUGGAAUGUGGAAUGUAACUUGGAGGGGCUUGAAUAUGCAGAGUUUUAUAACUUUGCACAUUAAUGUCUCAAAGUGUUAAAAUCUUUUACAACUAAUUGUAGAUAAGUUUAGUAUUGACAAAUAAUUUUAUUACAAUUAAAUAAAAUAUUAGAAUUUUUUUAUUAUCCUACUAAUUUUAUGACAAUCAAAUUUAUACAAAAGUAAUUCUUGGUGUCUCGUGUUACUAAAAACAGAAACUCACUUAAGAACUCAUCACGCCUUUGGUGGAGAAAGAUACUUCAUGGGAUGCUAGUAUUAAUUCUCAAGCAGUGGACCUAGGUGAGAGUAAGAAGAAAACCAAAAUAGUAGAACACUCAUCUAAAUUGUCCCAAAAAAAUGGAGGACAAAAUUCCCAAGAAAGUUCAAUAAACAAGUACAAGAAAAGCCAUGAAAGCCCAUUAUUUUUGGAAACAAUGUCAAAUAUUGAAGAAAUUGUCAAAGCAAAAUAUUGAACUUUCAACUUUAGGCACUUAAACAUACUAAUAAGGGGGGGAAUGAACAUAUUACAUAUGACAGUCCUUUAUCGUCGUAUUGACUUUUUUGAUAUGGUGGUAAAGUAUGAAGUGCUUGCAAGAGGGCUAUUAUCAUAUAUGGAAAAUGAUGAGAAAUCCAUACUAUAUAUGGUGAGCUAGAAAAGAAAAAGGCAAGCUAGUGAAAAGAUGCAAAGCCUUGCACUCUAGUUACAAGACGAGUUGCUUUUGUUUGAGGUGCACUUCUACUCACCCAUUAGCCAUAAAUGUAUGCAUUAUUCACAUGCAUUCACUUGGGUCAAGCAUUUUAAUUGUUCAUCUUCAUUACCAAAAAGAAUAAGUUAUUAGCUAGCUAGGUGAUAGAUGAGAAAUAUGUAUCAAGUUAGAAAAAUGCUAAGUUACAUAAUAGGUAUCACACUGAAUUCUAAAUUUGAGCUACUAAUGUGUGGAACAAAACAUGGAUUGUAAAAUACCAAUACUAAAAGAUGAGACUUAGAUAUAAAGAAAUAAAAUAAAAUAAAGUAGAAAAAAAAUAUAAUCUUAGUAUAAUUAAUAAAUAGAAACUUGUUAGAUGCAUGAACAAAAAAGAUCAUUUUUCCACAUAUAUUGACUUUUUGUCAGCUAUCCCUUUUUUUUAUGAGGUAUGGAAAGCAAUUUCCCUAUCAUAGAAUGAUUAAUAAAUGCAUGGGAAAAUAAUUGAACACAUUAAUGAGAUUCAAAUUCAAGAUUCAUAAGCCAAGGUACCUAUUAAAAGCUGCUAGUUGACCUAUAAGUUUAAGCUGAUAGAAAAAUAAUGAUAUCAAGCUUACCAGGAUUAGAUGAAGGGAUUAUAAAAAAGAUAAAAAUAAAAUUAUUGUGUGCAUUCCAAGAAUAGCGACUUGUGAUUGUAUGAGUGGGUGCAAAAAGUGAAGUUAGCCUAUAAGAUUCAUUUCUCCAAUCCUCUCAACAAAGACCACUAGACUGCUAAAGAAUUAUUUGCUACUACAAAUGAGCAACUCCAUCAAGAAGCUAAGGAAUGGCUAAUGCUUACCAUAGAGAAUUGCACCACUCUUUCUAUUUUCAUAGCCACUGUUGCCUUUGCUACAACCUACAUGGUACCAGAGUAAAAAACUUAGAGAUAUGAAGAAAAGAAGAGAUGCGGAGCACCUAUUUGAGAGAAAAUCGGAGAGAUAAAAACUAAAAAAAUUGAACAACUUAGUAUCAUUGAUAAGAACUUUGUUUCUUAUAUACAAAUAUUCAGAAAUUAGUUACAAACAACUGAUUACUACUCAAAAAGUGCUAUUUGAUAGCUUAUAAUUAAUCCUUUUAAACACUUUUGAGUAGUAGUUUUGGCCUUUUAACUCAAUUGGCAUGUUAAGGACCCUUGAAAGCAAUUUUAAUCACUUUGUGUAAGUUUUGGUGUUUUUGUUAGUAUUUUGAUCACCAAAGCAAUUCAAGAUUGAGGAGAAUUUUGAGGAAUCUUGGGCAAAGAUUGGAAGUCAUUUGCCAAGAGUAAAUCCGAAGUGCAAGGAGAAAAAGUAAAGAGAAUCUGCCAUGAAGCAUAUUCUUGAUGACAGUCGUGGCAGCCACUUUUGGAGCACUUUCUGAAGUCCAAUUGAUGCAUGCUAUAUACCAUUUCAAAGAUCAGGAAGUCAACAAUCUAAUGCUUCAAACGGUGCACAAUUCGGAGUUGAAACGAAGAAGUUGCAGCCAUUGCAAGCCAAUCACUCCAAGCUGAAGGAAGCAUUUUCCAAAGUGUUGCGAAAUCACCCUUUUGUUGCGAAGUGAUUUCGCAGCAUUUUUGUACAGUAUGGUGUAUUUCCUCCUGAAGUUGCCCGAUAUAUGCCGCAAGCUGGAAGCUGAGAGCAUCAAGGUAGAAGCCAACUUCGCAGCCCUGCGAAGAUAGCAUGUUGUUGCGAAAUGAUUUCGCAGCCCUUCUUGAGUGUCUGCGAAAUCUCGCAGACACCAUUUUCUCUUGCGGAAUGGUUCCUGGAGCAUCCCGAUAUUUGCUACCGACAUUGGGAGAUAUUUUACAUCAGAUUUUUGUUGUCUAAAUCCCAAAAUACUCCUUGUAAGCCACCAAUUACAAGAUUCCUUAGCUUUAAGUUAGUAAAAAGAGAAAAUAUCUAUGUAAUAAUUAGUUUUAUAUUAUGUUCAUAUAAAUACCUCUCGGGAGCCUGUUCUCAGAGAGAGCCUUUUGUAAAGUUUUAGGUAAGCAAGUAAAGUUCAGUUCUUUGUAUUACCUUACCUUCUCACUUUGUAUAUUUUAUUUUCUUACUAAGUUAUGAACUCUCUGAGGAGUUUUCCCCAGAGAAUGAGUAACUAAACCUCUAAUUCCUUGGAGCUAAGGUUGCCGGGGAAGGUUCCAAGUGCAAGAAUGCAAAGCUUUGUGGUUUUAGCUAGUAAUGAAGAGGAAGUGAAAUCCUUUAGUGAUUUCUAUGUUUUUAGUUAACUUAAAACACCUUAGAGUCAUCUGGGCCAACACUUGGUAAGGCAAGUGAUUUCCAACCAUGGAAAUGCACUAGUUUACCCUUUGCGAGCCUCUGGAAGGUGACUUUAGGGUAGGAUUUUCUAGAAUAGCCAACACUUGGUAAGCUUUUGGACUCCAAGGAGACAUCCAUUAGUUAUCUCUUGCGAGCUUUUGAAGGGAAGUCCAAGGUUAAAGAUCAUCUUGAAUGGUAAGUGCUCGUGAGAGGCAUGAACCAUUGCAAGUUGUAUCAAUGAGAGAAUUAAAGUUGAAAUCCAAUUAAAGGAUGUAUCUGUACAACACCGGUUAGAGAAUUGACUAUAUGUUGAAUCUCUAACGCGAGGAAAGGAACCAUCUGACCGGAGCUAUGUCUUUUGCAUGAGGAACCACCCCAGUGAACCUAACUCUCCAAGGAAUGCUUUUCUUCCUAAGUUAUUCCGAGUACUUGUUAUGUUAGUUAGUUUAAAUCUUUACCAAUCAAAGUUUGUGUUUUAUUUCUUAAGCUAACCUUGAAAUGAAACAAGACCAAUUCACUUGGAAUUGGUAUCAUUGAUAGCUUGCUAAUCCUUCCCAGUGAACGAUCCUAGAGCCGUUAUACUAUAGUAGCUUUUUCUUUGCUACCCUAGUAUAUGGUGUUAUAGGUUAUAAAUUUUGUUGAUUACUCCCUCUAUCAAGGAGCACCAGUUGGACACGAAUCAGCUGAGACACCAAUUGGGCACGAAUCAAAUGGCGCCGUUGCCGGGGAAUGUGUCAAUUUUAUAGCGAUACCAUUUUUUAGCACUUGUGAUUGUCAUCACAAGUUUGGUAACGUUUCUUUCACUUUACUAAUUCUCAUUCUUUCUUUAUUUAUUCAUAAUCCAAGUUUAUCUUUUAAAUUCAGCUUAGUUUAAUUUUGUUUUUCGUAGCCCUGUUUUCUUUUGUUGUCCUUUAUUUUCAUUUUAGUUGCAGAUAGAUACUAGUUGUGUAUGCCAAAUUGGAUACGAGACAGUGGAGGAAGACUUGUUAAGUGUGAUACACCUCAUAACAAAGAAUUUGAGUUGAGCUUGAAUAUCAUGGAAACUACACCUGAAGAUCAGCAUAGUCACCAAGGUCGUCAAGACAAUCUCAAUGAAUUCAGAUCAAUGAGGGACCGUAUGCAUCCACCUCGUAUGAGUGCACCAUCAUGUAUAGUGCCCCCUACAGAGCAGCUAGUGAUCAGACCGUAUCUCGUUCCACUUCUACCAACUUUCCAUGGGAUGGAAAGUGAGAAUCCGUAUGCAUACAUCAAGGAAUUUGAAGAUGUUUGUAAUACAUUCCAAGAGGGAGGAGCUUCAAUUGAUUUGAUGAGGCUUAAGUUAUUUUCUUUUACUUUAAAGGAUAAAGCCAAAAUUUGGCUUAAUUCUUUAAGGCCAAGGAGUAUCCGUUCUUGGACUGACUUACAAGCUGAAUUCCUCAAGAAAUUUUUUCCCACUCAUAGAACAAAUGGCUUGAAAAGGCAAAUUUCAAACUUCUCAGCUAAAGAGAAUGAGAAAUUCUAUGAGUGUUGGGAAAGAUACAUGGAAGCUAUAAAUGCUUGUCUUCACCAUGGCUUUGAUACUUGGCUAUUGGUGAGUUAUUUUUAUGAUGGUAUGUCCUCCUCAAUGAAGCAACUCCUCGAGACAAUGUGUGGAGGAGAUUUCAUGAGUAAAAAUCCAGAGGAAGCUAUGGAUUUCUUGAGCUAUGUAGCUGAUGUUUCAAGGGGAUGGGAUGAACCAACCAAAGGAGAAGUGGGGAAGAUGAAGUCUCAACUGAGUGCUUUCAAUGCAAAGGCUGGGAUGUAUACCUUGAAAGAAGAUGAUGAUAUGAAAGCAAAAUUGGCAGCUAUGACAAGAAGAUUGGAGGAGCUGGAGCUGAAAAGAAUACAUGAAGUGCAAGCUGUUGCUGAAGCACCAGUGCAAGUGAAGCUGUGUCCCAAUUGUCAAUCAUAUGAACAUUUGGUGGAGGAAUGCCCUACAAUUUCAGCUGAAAGGGAGAUGUUUAAAGAUCAAGCAAAUGUUGUUGGACAAUUCAGGCCCAAUAACAAUGCGCCUUAUGGAUAUACCUACAACUCAAGUUGGAGGAAUCAUCCAAAUUUCUCAUGGAAGGCCAGAGCAACUCAAUACCAACAGCCGGAUCCACCACCUCAACAAACUUCAAGUCUUGAUCAAGCAAUGGCUAAUCUCAGCAAGGUAGUGGGAGAUUUUGUUGGAAAGCAAGAAGCCACCAAUGCUCAAAUCUAUCAAAGAAUUGAUAGAGUAGAGAGUAUGUUGAAUAAUAUGAUGGAUGGAAUGCAAAAUGAUAUGAACCAAAAGUUUGAUAACAUCCAAUAUUCAAUUUCAAGGCUUACAAAUUUGAAUACACUGCAAGAAAAGGGAAGAUUUCCUUCUCAACCCCACCAAAACCCCAAAGGUGUCCAUGAAGUGGAAAGCUAAGAGGGAGAAUCAUCACAGAUGAAAGAUGUCAAAGCCUUGAUCACUCUAAGGAGUGGUAAAAAAAUUGAGCAGCCAACACCCAAGCCACAUGUUGAGAAAGAAGAAGAAAUAAAGAAAGGGAAGGAAAUGAAAGAUAAAGACAGUGAGGUCAGUGAAGAAAAGAAGGACUCUGAUUCAACAAUGAAUGCAAUUCCAGAGAAGGAACUUAUGAAGGAAGAAAUGCUGAAGAAAUCAACUUCUCCACCUUUUCCUCAAGCAUUACAUGGGAAAAAGGGGGUUAGAAAUGCAGCUGAAAUCCUUGAAGUAUUGAGACAAGUGAAAGUCAAUAUUCCACUGCUGGAUAUGAUUAAACAAGUUCCAACGUAUGCAAAAUUCCUAAAGGAUUUAUGUACUAUCAAAAGAGGGUUGACUGUAAACAAGAAAGCCUUAUUGACUGAGCAAGUAAGUGCAAUCUUACAAUGUAAGUCUCCAUUGAAGUACAAAGACCCGGGAAGUCCUACCAUUUUAGUCAUGAUUGGAGGAAAGAUAGUGGAAAAAGCCUUGUUAGAUUUGGGAGCAAGUGUGAAUUUGCUUCCAUAUUCCGUCUAUAAGCAAUUGGGACUUGGUGAGUUGAAGCUAAUAGCAAUCACUCUAUCUCUAGCAGAUAGAUCAGUAAAAAUUCCAAGGGGGGUAAUUGAGGAUGUCUUGGUUCAAGUGGAUAAUUUCUACUAUCCAGUAGAUUUUAUUGUUCUUGAUACAGAUCCUACUGUAAAGGAAGCUAAUUUAGUUCCUAUCAUCCUUGGAAGGCCAUUUCUUGCUACCUCAAAUGCAAUCAUCAACUGCAGGAAUGGGCUGAUGCAACUCACUUUUGGCAACAUGACACUGGAUCUCAAUAUUUUCUAUAUGUCUAAAAAGCAAAUCACUCCGGAAGAAGAAGAGGGUCCAGAAGAGCUGUGCAUUAUUGAUACUUUGGUGGAGGAGCACUGUAAUCAAAAUAUGCAAGACAAGUUGAAUGAAAGUCUUGUGAAUUUUGAGGAAGGUUUGUCUGAAUCUCCUACUGUGCUUGCUACUCUACAAAGUUGGAGAAAGAUAGAAGAGAUUCUACCUUUGUUCAAUGAAGAAGAAGAGGCAGCUGCUGAAAAAGAAAUUCCAAAAUUCAAUCUGAAGCCUCUACCUGUGGAGCUGAAAUAUACAUAUCUUGAAGAAAAUAAUCAAUGUCCUGUUGUAAUAUCUUCAUCUCUGACCAGUCAUCAGAAGAAUUGUUUAAUGGAAGUUCUCAAGAGGUGUAAGAGGGCAAUAGGAUGGCAAAUAUCCGACUUGAAAGGCAUUAGUCCUUUAGUUUGUACUCAUCAUAUAUAUAUGGAGGAGGAAGCAAAGCCAAUUCGUCAACUUCAAAGAAGGUUGAAUCCUCAUCUACAAGAGGUGGUGCGAGCUAAGGUGCUGAAGCUACUUCAGGCAGGAAUCAUUUACCCUAUAUCUGAUAGCCCUUGGGUGAGUCCUACUCAAGUGGUACCAAAGAAGUCAGGGAUCACAGUGGUUCCGAAUGAAAAAGGAGAAGAAGUUACUACACGCCUCACUUCAGGUUGGAGGGUGUGUAUUGAUUAUAGAAAGUUGAAUGCUGUAACCAGGAAGGAUCAUUUUCCAUUGCCAUUUAUUGACCAAGUGCUGGAGAGAGUCUCUGGACAUCCAUUCUAUUGUUUCUUGGAUGGGUAUUCAGGGUAUUUUCAGAUUGAAAUUGAUGUGGCAGAUCAGGAAAAGACCACUUUUACAUGUCCAUUUGGAACAUAUGCUUACAGGAGAAUGCCUUUUGGUUUAUGCAAUGCACCUGCUACAUUUCAAAGAUGUAUGUUGAGUAUUUUCAGUGAUAUGGUGGAACGAAUUAUGGAGGUUUUCAUGGAUGACAUCACUGUAUAUGGAGGUACAUUUGAGGAAUGCUUAGUUAAUUUGGAAGCAGUUCUUCACAGAUGCAUUGAAAAAGAUCUGGUGCUCAACUGGGAGAAAUGUCAUUUUAUGGUACGUCAAGGAAUUGUCCUUGGUCAUAUCAUCUCUAAAAGAGGCAUUGAAGUUGAUAAAGCAAAGGUGGAGCUUAUUGUCAAAUUACCAUCCCCAACAACUGUAAAAGGAGUAAGGCAGUUCCUUGGCCAUGCAGGGUUCUAUAGGAGAUUUAUAAAAAGGUUUUUCAAGUCUUUCAAAACCUCUUUGUGAGCUGUUAGCUAAGGAUGCUAAAUUUAUAUGGGAUGAAAGGUGUCAGAAUAGCUUUGAUCAACUGAAGAAAUUUUUAACAGCAACUCCAAUAGUGAGAGCCCCUAACUGGCAAUUACCUUUUGAACUGAUGUGUGAUGCCAGUGACUUUGCUAUAGGAGCUGUGCUUGGCCAAAGGGAAGAUGGGAAGCCCUAUGUGAUUUACUAUGCAAGUAAAACACUGAAUGAAGCUCAAAGGAACUACACAACUACAGAGAAAGAAUUGUUAGCUGUGGUAUUUGCUUUGGACAAAUUUCGUGCUUAUUUAGUGGGGUCUUUCAUCAUUGUCUUUACUGACCAUUCAGCCUUGAAGUAUUUAUUGACAAAGCAAGAUGCAAAAGCAAGGUUGAUUAGAUGGAUUCUUUUGUUACAAGAAUUCGAUCUUCAAAUCAAAGAUAAGAAAGGAGUGGAGAAUGUGGUAGCUGACCACCUUUCCAGGUUAGUUAUAGCACAUAAUUCCCAUCCCUUGCCUAUUAAUGAUGAUUUUCCUGAAGAAUCACUCAUGUUCUUAGUGAAAACUCCUUGGUAUGCUCAUAUUGCUAAUUAUUUAGUAACUGGUGAAAUUCCAAGUGAGUGGAAUGCACAGGACCGGAAGCACUUCUUUGCCAAAAUUCAUGCUNNNNNNNNNNNNNNNNNNNNNNNNNNNNNNNNNNNNNNNNNNNNNNNNNNNNNNNNNNNNNNNNNNNNNNNNNNNNNNNNNNNNNNNNNNNNNNNNNNNNCCCUAACUGGCAAUUACUUUUGAACUGAUGUGUGAUGCCAGUGACUUUGCUAUAGGAGCUGUGCUUGGCCAAAGGGAAGAUGGGAAGCCCUAUGUGAUUUACUAUGCAAGUAAAACACUGAAUGAAGCUCAAAGGAACUACACAACUACAGAGAAAGAAUUGUUAGCUGUGGUAUUUGCUUUGGACAAAUUUCGUGCUUAUUUAGUGGGGUCUUUCAUCAUUGUCUUUACUGACCAUUCAGCCUUGAAGUAUUUAUUGACAAAGCAAGAUGCAAAAGCAAGGUUGAUUAGAUGGAUUCUUUUGUUACAAGAAUUCGAUCUUCAAAUCAAAGAUAAGAAAGGAGUGGAGAAUGUGGUAGCUGACCACCUUUCCAGGUUAGUUAUAGCACAUAAUUCCCAUCCCUUGCCUAUUAAUGAUGAUUUUCCUGAAGAAUCACUCAUGUUCUUAGUGAAAACUCCUUGGUAUGCUCAUAUUGCUAAUUAUUUAGUAACUGGUGAAAUUCCAAGUGAGUGGAAUGCACAGGACCGGAAGCACUUCUUUGCCAAAAUUCAUGCUUAUUAUUGGGAAGAGCCCUUUCUUUUUAAGUAUUGUGCAGAUCAGAUCAUAAGGAAGUGUGUUCCUGAAGAUGAGCAGCAAGGGAUUCUAUCUCAUUGUCAUGAGAAUGCAUGUGGAGGCCACUUUGCCUCUCAGAAAACAGCUAUGAAGGUGUUGCAAUCAGGGUUUACUUGGCCAUCUCUUUUCAAAGAUGCCCACAUCAUGUGUAGAAGUUGUGACAGAUGCCAAAGGCUUGGAAAGCUAACAAAAAGAAAUCAAAUGCCUAUGAACCCCAUUCUAAUAGUUGAGCUAUUUGAUGUAUGGGGCAUUGACUUCAUGGGACCUUUCCCAAUGUCUUUUGGUAAUUCUUACAUCUUGGUGGGGGUGGAUUAUGUUUCUAAAUGGGUUGAGGCAAUCCCCUAUAAACAAAAUGAUCACAGGGUGGUUCUCAAGUUUCUUAAAGAGAACAUUUUCUCAAGAUUUGGGGUGCCCAAAGCCAUAAUCAGUGAUGGAGGUGCUCAUUUUUGCAACAAACCUUUUGAAGCUCUGUUAUCCAAGUAUGGAGUGAAGCAUAAGGUGGCUACACCUUAUCAUCCUCAGACUUCCGGGCAAGUUGAGCUAGCUAACAGGGAAAUAAAGAACAUAUUGAUGAAAGUGGUGAAUUCCAGUAGAAAAGAUUGGUCUAUUAGGCUUCAUGAUUCAUUGUGGGCAUAUAGAAUAGCUUAUAAGACUAUUCUUGGGAUGUCUCCUUAUCUUCUUGUCUAUGGCAAAGCAUGCCAUCUCCCUGUGGAAGUUGAAUACAAGGCUUGGUGGGCAAUAAAGAAGUUAAACAUGGAUUUGGUCAGAGCCGGAGAAAAGAGAUAUCUAGACCUUAAUGAGAUGGAGGAAUUAAGAAAUAAUGCUUAUAUCAAUUCCAAAGUUGCAAAACAGAGGAUGAAGAAGUGGCAUGAUCAACUCAUCUCCAACAAGGAAUUUCAGGAAGGGCAAAGAGUUUUACUGUAUGACACAAGACUCCAUAUCUUUCCUGGGAAGCUCAAGUCAAGGUGGAUAGACCCGUUCAUUAUUCACCGAGUAUAUUCCAAUGGAGUGGUGGAAUUAUUGAAUUCAAAUGGCAAGGAUAGCUUUAGAGUCAAUGGAUAUCGUCUCAAGCCAUUCAUGGAUCCAUUCAAACCAGAAAAGGAGGAAAUCAACCUCCUUGAGCCUCGAAAAGCCUAAGCAAAGAAGGGUUUGCUGGACGUGGUUUACCACAGUCCAAAAUUUUUGUAAAUUUUGUAAAUUUUCAAGUUUUUUUUCCAUACAUUUGAUCUUAGUUUUUGAUCUUAAAUCAUGUUUUUAGGUGUGUUUUAAUCUUUUUGAAUGAUCCCAGGUGGAAGAAAUUGCAAGGAAAUUGAAAGGAAAAGAAUCGGAUAAAAAACAGAGCAAAAACAGAGCAAAAAACAGAGCUCUGCGAGAUUUCGCAGCCUCUGCGAAAUCAGCACUAUGCUGCAAAACCAUUCCGCAACACUUUGGAGUUCUCUGCGAGAAUUUUCGCAGCUGCGAAGGCGAUUUUGGCACACGAGUGCCACUUUGCAGCACAGGAGCCCUCAUUUGGCAGCUGCGAAACGCAUUGCGAAGUGGUAAAGCCUGAUUUCGCACCAAAAGUCCCAUUCCGCAGGGUAUUUUGCAAUUGCGAAAGCGAUUUUGGCACACGUGUGCCACUUCGCAGCACAGUAACAUUAAUUUCGCAGCUGCGAAAUGCAUUGCGAAGUUGCUGCGAAAAUGACAUUUUGCUGCGAAAUUGGCAUUUUGCUGCGAAACUCAAACUGACCCUUAGUCUUCCCUUAUUCCUAUUUAUACCGGUCAUUUGAGUUGCGAAAAGGGUUUCAAAAUCAGAGCGCGCCAUUCUCGCAGACCGUCCAUCUCCUUCUUCAAGCCUCACCGCGCAAGCCUCCGGUCAUCUUCUCCGACCAUCCGUUCCGGCCAAACUUCGGUAAUCCGAAAUGGCGCGAACAAGAGGGGCUAAGUCUCCAUCUCCUUCGAGCCGCAAGAGAAGCUUGCGAAAGGAACCAGUUCCAGAUCCUAUCCCUGACCCUCCGCAGCCGAAAGCAAUUCCUCCUCCGGUGAAGCCCGCGCUGCCAAAGCCUCCGGUAAAGCCCGCGCCGCCAAAACCUCCGGCAAAACGAUACCUAACCAGGUCAGGGGGUCGGCCACUGCAAAAGAAACCCAGGGUGGAGAGCUUAGAACCCAUCGAUUUGACUGAGCAAUCUCCAGAGCCCUCGCCGGCUCCAACUCCAGUUCCCUCGCCAAUUCAGCCUCCGGUGCCAUCUCCGACGCCGCAAGCAAAAUCUCAGGAGACUCAAGCGCCACUUCCCGAGCCCCAAAUUCCAUCUGAAAUAGCUCCGGAAGAAGUAAUCAGGAGGCCGAUGCUGACCCAGCUCCCAAUUGAGGGAAAUUUGGAUUGUAGAACUCGGCCAUUCCACUCCGAGCUAGGCUUUGACAUAUCUACAUUCCAAUUGCAGCCGGAGCUUGCACAGUCAUUCAACCUUCUAAGAAGGUACCAUAUGGAGCAUCUGCUGACUCCGAGAGACUUUUUCUACCCAAGGGUGGCCAUGGAUUUCUAUCAAUCCAUGACAACCAACCAGGUCAGGGAUCCAACUUUAAUUCAUUUCACUAUUGAUGGGAGGCAUGGCAUAUUGGGAGCACGCCAUAUAGCUGAAGCCUUGCAAAUUCCCUAUGAGCCGACCCAAUUCGAUAAUUUUAGAGCUUGGACCAAUCCUACUGAGCUGGAGAUGGUGCGCACCCUAUCCAGAGGAGCUGCCAAUCGAUCAUAUCUGUUGAGGGGGGAGCUUCCUCCAAUCAUGUUUUUGAUUGAUGCAUUUUUGCGUCAUAACCUCUACCCAUUGCAGCAUUGGACUCAAAGAAGAGGAGUCCUCUUAGAAGCCCUGUACAAGAUGUCUGAAGGAUUUUUCUUUGGGCCUCAUCAUCUGAUUCUGGCAGCCCUUCUCUAUUUCGAAGAGAAGGUACACAAAAAGAAGCUUCAGAGAGCUGAUUGCAUUCCCCUCCUCAUUCCAAGGCUGCUAUGCCAAAUUCUGGAGCACUUGGGGUAUCCUUCUGAACCUCAAUUGGAGCGCAAACGCAUUUGCCGUGAGCUUUUCACUCUUAACAAAUGGAACAACAUGACAGCUUAUCGAGUUGACCAGCCUGAGCGCCCACAGCCAGCUGUAAGGAGAGCAUCCCCACGACACAUACCUGAGGGUAUAACAGUUGCUGCUCCUGCCAUUUGCAGAGCUCCACCAGCUGCUCCAGCUUCAUCUCAGCCAUCCACUUCAGCUGAGCCGAGGAUGGCCAUACCCAUUUCUGAAUAUCGAGAGUUGUGCCGUGCAUUGCAGACCCUCACAGCUUCUCAGAGCAGUCUUGCUCAAGAGAUGGCAGCCAUUAGAGCAUGCCAAGAGCAGAUGUUGGCCACUCAGGCUCAACAAGCUGCCAUCUUAAGGCAGCUCCAGCUUCAUUUCAACCUGCCACCAGCUGUUGAGCCCUCCACUUCUACUCCAGCAGAGCCACACUCUCAUCCCUCAGAGCCUCAAGCCCCAGCUGAAGCACCAACUGAAGAGGCAGAUCCAUCUGCCUAGCCCCAGCACCACCCACUCAUCAGAUCAUUAUAUAUAUAUCUACUAUCUUUGUUUUAUGUAUUUCGUUUUUUAGUUUGAAAGAAAUCCCAUUAUUUUGGUAUUAUAUUUGGGAUUGCUUGUAUUACUUUUCUUUUGCAUUGUACUUAAAUGGAUUCAAAGUAAUACAAGUUUAAUAUUUCUUGUUAACAGUUAGCAUUAAGUUAUCCUUAUUUCCUUUUCUCACAUAUUCUAUUCUUUUUGAAACAUGUGGUUUCUCCAAUUAGUAUGCGAAUUUGAUAUCACACAGGAGGUACCACUUCCUCCCUUUAAUUACAGUCACUCAUAUCACAUUGAGGACAAUGCUCAGUUCGGUUGGGGGGAAUGAGGAAGGAAGUUAUGCUAAAUUAAAGGAAGUAUGCUAAGCCUUUUUAGUAAUGCAAUUAUUUUGGUAAAUUAGUUGUAGUUUUUGUUUUUUACUCUUUUUACUCUAUUCUCCAUGAAUCUUGAGGAAAAAUUUUCAAAUUAAAACAGGAAAAAUUGAACUGUUGUUUUUCACUUGACUUAGAGUAUGGAUUAUGCUCACUAAAGUGGUUCAAUUGUUGAAGCUUCUAUUGAAAUUGAAUUUAGUUCUUCCACUUUAAGCUAUUCACACACUGUGCACAUUAGAUUCCGAUUAUAAGAUGAAAAACUAUUUCCCUCUUGACUUAGGAUAAUUUUGGGACUUGGUAUAUUUGACCUCAUUUGAUAAAAAUUGAAACACCCUGCAAAAGGCCAAUGAGCCUUUGAAAUAAAGAAAGUUGUUUGCUUGCCUUAAAACCCGAGCAAGGUCUGAGAGGUAUAUGGUGAAAAUCUUUGAAGCCUGGUGCCCUAAGCCUUAAUUGGUUGGGAGUCACCGACCUCAAUGCUCGUUACAAGGGUGAAUAGGUAGAGUAGCAUAUGGUAGGUGCUUGGGUAUUAAAAAUUCAUUCUCAAAAGUCCGGGGAAAAAUCCGAGGAGUUAGUGGUUGAAAGAUCCUUAAAGCUUGGUGCCCUAAACCUUAAUUGGUUGGGAGUCAUCGAUGGACCCCCAUUACAUGGACAAUACAGAAAGAGUACCCCAUAAGUUCUUUGUUAAAAAAAAAAAAAAAAAAAAAAAAGUGUGUUCUUUCUUUAUUGAUUUUGGUCAGUUUGCUAAGUGUUGAAAAGAGAUAGGUUGGGGGGAGAGAUUAGUUUAGCAUAUUAUUCUCGGAAGCUAAGGAACCAAUACACAUAGAUUUUUGAGGAAGAAUAAAGUUUGGUUCUUUGAAAGUGGAAAUGAUUUUAAAACUUCAGUUUGCAUAAUGCAUUCCCUUGUUUGACAGUGUUUAGCAUAGUUUGUUAUAACUCUUGUUGAAAUUUGCUUUUAUAUUUCUUUAAGGUUUCAUGAGAGAAUUAGAUCAUCAUGCCACUUGAGAAUUGUUUUUGAUCAGCAUGAUGUUGUAAAUUAUAGUUUAAUUUGUUGUUUAUUUUCAUUUUUCUCUCCUAUAUUGCUAAGGGACUAGCAAUAUGUCGGUUGGGGGGAGUGAUUACUACUCAAAAAGUGCUAUUUGAUAGCUUAUAAUUAAUCCUUUUAAACACUUUUGAGUAGUAGUUUUGGCCUUUUAACUCAAUUGGCAUGUUAAGGACCCUUGAAAACAAUUUUAAUCACUUUGUGUAAGUUUUGGUGUUUUUGUUAGUAUUUUGAUCACCAAAGCAAUUCAAGAUUGAGGAGAAUUUUGAGGAAUCUUGGGCAAAGCUUGGAAGUCAUUUGCCAAGAGUAAAUCCGAAGUGCAAGGAGAAAAAGUAAAGAGAAUCUGCCAUGAAGCAUAUUCUUGAUGACAGUCGUGGCAGCCACUUUUGGAGCACUUUCUGAAGUCCAAUUGAUGCAUGCUAUAUACCAUUUCAAAGCUCAGGAAGUCAAUAAUCUAAUGCUUCAAACGGUGCGCAAUUUGGAGUUGAAACGAAGAAGUUGCAGCCAUUGCAAGCCAAUCACUCCAAGCUGAAGGAAGCAUUUUCCAAAGUGUUGCGAAAUCACCCUUUUGUUGCGAAGUGAUUUCGCAGCAUUUUUGUACAGUAUGAUGUAUUUCCUCCUGAAGUUGCCCGAUAUAUGCCGCAAGCUGGAAGCUGAGAGCAUCAAGGUGGAAGCCAACUUCGCAGCCCUGCGAAGAUAGCAUGUUGUUGCGAAAUGAUUUCGCAGCCCUUCUUGAGUGUCUGCGAAAUCUCACAGACACCAUUUUCUCUUGCGGAAUGGUUCCUGGAGCAUCCCGAUAUUUGCUAUCGACAUUGGGAGAUAUUUUACAUCAGAUUUUUGUUGUCUAAAUCCCAAAAUACUCCUUGUAAGCCACCAAUUACAAGAUUCCUUAGCUUUUAAGUUAGUAAAAAGAGAAAAUAUCUAUGUAAUAAUUAGUUUUAUAUUAUGUUCAUAUAAAUACCUCUCGGGAGCCUGUUCUCAGAGAGAGCCUUUUGUAAAGUUUUGGGUAAGCAAGUAAAGUUCAGUUCUUUGUAUUACCUUACCUUCUCACUUUGUAUAUUUUAUUUUCUUACUAAGUUAUGAACUCUCUGAGGAGUUUUCCCCAGAGAAUGAGUAACUAAACCUCUAAUUCCUUGGAGCUAAGGUUGCCGGGGAAGGUUCCAAGUGCAAGAAUGCAAAGCUUUGUGGUUUUAGCUAGUAAUGAAGAGGAAGUGAAAUCCUUUAGUGAUUUCUAUGUUUUUAGUUAACUUAAAACACCUUAGAGUCAUCUGGGCCAACACUUGGUAAGGCAAGUGAUUUCCAACCAUGGAAAUGCACUAGUUUACCCCUUACGAGCCUCUGGAAGGUGACUUUAGGGUAGGAUUUUCUAGAAUAGCCAACACUUGGUAAGCUUUUGGACUCCAAGGAGACAUCCAUUAGUUAUCUCUUGCGAGCUUUUGAAGGGAAGUCCAAGGUUAAAGAUCAUCUUGAAUGGUAAGUGCUCGUGAGAGGCAUGAACCAUUGCAAGUUGUAUCAAUGAGAGAAUUAAAGUUGAAAUCCAAUUAAAGGAUGUAUCUGUACAACACCGGUUAGAGAAUUGACUAUAUGUUGAAUCUCUAACGCGAAGAAAGGAACCAUCUGACCGAAGCUAUGUCUUUUGCAUGAGGAACCACCCCAGUGAACCUAACUCUCCAAGGAAUGCUUUUCUUCCUAAGUUAUUCCGAGUACUUGUUAUGUUAGUUAGUUUAAAUCUUUACCAAUCAAAGUUUGUGUUUUAUUUCUUAAGCUAACCUUGAAAUGAAACAAGACCAAUUCACUUGGAAUUGGUAUCAUUGAUAGCUUGCUAAUCCUUCCCAGUGAACGAUCCUAGAGUCGCUAUACUAUAGUAACUUUUUCUUUGCUACCCUAGUAUAUGGUGUUAUAGGUUAUAAAUUUUGUUGAUUACUCCCUCUAUCAAGAAGCACCAGCUAGACACGAAUCAGCUGAGACACCAAUUGGGCACGAAUCAACAACUAACAACCUAUUAACUACUUAACAACUCUAACUAACAUCCAACCUCAAGCACAUAGGGUGAGAAAGAACUAUGAGCUUGCUCUAGAGAUGAAGGAAAUGCUGAGUGGAGAGAGCUUUGGUUAAGAUAUCAACAGCUUGGUCUCCAAAUGGAAGAAAUCAAACAUCAAAAGUUUUCUACGGGACUCAUUCUUAAACAAAAUGAUAAUUAAUUUCCACAUGUUUAGCCCGAGAAUGAAGGACAAGAAUUACAGCCAAAUAACAUGAACUAAAACAGGGGAACAAAGGGCUCUUUAAGAAAGGAUUGAAUCUAAGUGAGUACGACCGUUGCAUUGGCCAAGCCCCUAUACUCGGACUCGGUAUAAGAGUGUGAACCACCUUUUGUUUAGAAGCUGACUAAGAGACCAGAUUACCACAAAAAAAAAACAAAAAAAAAAAACAAAACACAGUAGCCACUAGUGCUACGUCUAUCAUUAGGGCAAGAUACCCAAUCGACAUUUGUAUAAGCAACAAGAUUGAGUGAGGAAGAUGGUUGGAAAAAAAAAACCCAUAAAACAACAAACCUUUGAGAUAACAAAUAACAUGCUUCAUAUCUUGAAAAUGAGUAGAGGUUGGAGCAUGCAUAAAUUGGUAAAUCUUAUUAACAGUAUAAGGAGUGUUUGGUCUAGUGAUUUUGCAAUACUGAAGGGCACCUACAAGACUCUAAUAGAAAGUGGGAUCCUCUAAUUUGGUACCAUCAACUAUGAAUAAAACAAGACCAGUAGCCAUUAAAGAAGCAACAAGCUUUGAUUCCAACAAAUCAACAUGCUGAAGAAGAUCACAAAUGUAUCUAUCUCGGCUUAAAUGCAAAGAAAAUCCAAAAUUGAGCACCUCUAUUCUAAGAAAGAAAUUGAGAGGACCAGAUUCUUGAGAGCAAAGCAAGAGUUUAAGGAAGAUAUAAGUUGUUCAAUGAGCAAGGAAUUUGAAUUAGUGACAAUAAUAUCAUCGAUAUAAACUAAGACAACAAGCAUGAUAGAAUUGUUAUGGUAACCAAACAUUGAUGUAUCUACUUAAGAUAUGGAAAAACCCCAUUUAAAUAAUGCAGAAUUCAGUUUCGUGAACCAAGCCCAUGGAGUUUGCUUCAAGCCAUACAAGGCCUUGGUAAGCUUACAAACAAAAUUGGGCUUAGAAGGAUCCACAAAACCCGGGGGUUGUAUCUAAAAACUUGCUCAAAUAAAUCACCAUUAUGAACAUCAAGUUGUUGGAUAGACCAAUUUCUACUCAAUGCCAAAGAGAGAACCACACUAAAGGUUUAACCACAAAACUAAAGGUUUCAAAGAAAUCAAAACUGUGAGUUUGAUGGAAUCCUUUCACCACUAAAUGUGCCUUAUAACAAUCAAUAGUUCCCUUAGGUUUAAACUUCAAUUUAUAAACCCACUAACAUCCAAUGGUAUUCUGAUUAGACGGAGGAGGAACCAUGACGUAUGUUUUAUUUUUCAUAAGAGCUUCAAAUUCAAGAUGCAUAGCCUAUUGCCAUUCAGGAACUUUAGCAGUUUCCUUAAAGGAAUCUAGUUCACAAAGUGGAGGAAAAAUAGUCUUAGUAGGAGACAAAUAUAACUUGAGUUCGAAAAUGCCAUUUUUGGCACGUAUUAUCAUGAGAUGACAAGGAGUAAGAACAUAAGAGGAAAGAGGUUGGGUUGUUGGAAUUGCUGUAACCUUAGAAAAGGAAAUUGACACACUAGAAUUAGAUAUUGGAACCAACUUUGAAGGUGGACAUAAUGGGGGAGGUAAGAGGGAAGGUAUUGGAGAUGAUGGUACUACCAAGGGAAUGACACAAUGAGAGGGGGAAACAGAAUAAGAAGUUUGAACUAUGGAAGACUUAGCAAAUCGGAAAUCUAGUUCAUAAAAAAUAACAUGUCGUGAUAUAUGUAUUUUAUGAUUGGACAUGUUUAAAUAAAGAUAUCCUUUAUGCUUAGAACUAUAGCCAAUAUUUUAACGGAUUGAUAUGCAAGUUUAUGACAAUUAAAAUGAUGUAGAAAAGGAUAACAAAUGUAGCCAUAGACAUGAAGAAAAUAAUAAUUUGGUAGACAAUGGUAAAGAGUCUUAUACGGAUCGAGAAGAGAUAUUCAACAUAGAGGUAGGAAGUCUAUUAAUCAAAUAUAAGGUAGAUUGGAAAACAAAAGGUCAAUAUUUAAGUGGAAUAGAAGCACGAGCAAGCAAAGAAAGACCUAUUUCAACCACAUGUCUAUGUUUUCUCUCCACAUGACCAUUUUGUUGAAAAGUAGAUGGACAAGAUAUUCUAUGCAGAAUCCUAAAUUUACAUAAAGUAUCAAUAAAGGCUUGAAACUCCCCUCCCUAAUCAGUUUGAAGCACUCUUAACUUUAGUGUCAAAUUGAGUCUCAGUUAUCACUUUAAAUUGCAAAAAAACAGAGAUAGCUUGAUUUUUAAAAGCUAGUAGAUACAACCCCAAGAAAAUCUUGUAUGGUCAAUUGGAAAAAAGUACAAAGUAUCUUGCAUCAUUAGCACCAACAAUAACGGUAGGACCCCAUAGAUCAAAAUGUAUAAGAGCAAAAGGCUAAGAGACUCUGGAUUUAGACAAAGUAAAAGGUAAGUGAUGACUCUUUGCCAUUUGACAAGGUUCACAAAUACCUAUCCAAUGUUCUGAGGGCAUACUACAAUCACUCAAAACUUUAUUCACUAUUUUACGUGCAAGAUGGCCUAAUUAAAAUGUCAUAGAGCUACCUUAUUGGGAAGUUGUAAUGCAAAUAACAUACACGGGACCUCAAUUGCCAAGCUUGUUCUUCUAACAAUUUUAUUACCUUUAGAAUCUAUAUUUUUUUUACCAGAAACUGAAGAUGACAAUUUGUAUAAACCAUGGUUAAGGUUGCCUUGGAGAAGAGCCUUCUUUGAAGCUUGAUCCUUCAUCACAAAUCCAUUAGUAAAGAAUUCCAUAGUAACAUUAUUGUUAGUACACAACCUAUUCACACUUAUCAAAUUGGUUGUAAGUUGUGGAACAUGUAGAAUAUUCUUUAGAUUUAAAGACUGAGAAACUGACAAAAUAGUAGAGUAUCCAAUAUUUGAGAUAUUUAAGCAACUACAGUUUCCAACGACAACUUUGUCCAAACCAGCAAAUGGAGUAUGUGCAUUCAAGUUCUUGAAAUUUAAAGUUAGGUGAUAUGUAGCUCUAGUAUCCAUGUACCAACUUCCAUCUGCAAUAGUGGCCAGAGUUGCAAUCAUUGCAGCAAGAUGAGGUUACUCAAUUCUUAGGGUUCUUUUUCCUCAUUGGUUUUUGACUCGGAUGAGUUAACUUAGUUCCUAGAGCUCUUCCUCAAUGACAAACAAUUUUGAUUAGAGUGUGGCAAGGAGUUCAAUGAGCAAGCUGGUGAUUGAUCAAGGCCUCACUAGUGAUGAGGACGUCGGUGAUAGCAACAAUCUAGUUGGAGAAACGAUUUUUUCCAACACCCUCAAACACCGCAAAAAUGAUCAUAUCGUCAUCAUGAUCUUAGAUAAGAGAAACUUAAAGUUUUGUUUAUUCCAAUUUCAAAUUGAAAACAAAAUUGUAGAGCACUAGAUACAAAAUAAAAAAAAAAUAAAAGAACGAAAAAUCACUAUAGAAACCUUAGAAAACACACUAGGAAGAAAAAUCAUAGACAAACUCACAGAAGAAUUUUAUGGCUUUAGGAGUUGGAGCCGGAGUUGGAGAAGAGUCUUAAUGGACAUUGAGGAAGGACAAGAAGAGGUGUUCAACUAUAAUUUAUGUAGGCUAUAUUGUAAAGGUUGGCUUUAAAAUGUAUCUAGUAGCGACCUAAUUAGGGUUCAAAGUAUCGGCCAAGUCUGAUACGACUCGGCCGAGUCAUAUCUGUCUCGACACUUGUCGCAACGAGACCGAUACCAGAUACAAUAUAAUGCAUGAACUCGACUGGGAAUCGGUUAGACUUUGCUAAGUUUUCGAGUUAACUCGGUUGACUCGGUUAGGUUAUAAAGAAUUUUCAAAUUUUUCAUAAAAUUGAAAAUAAUAAUAAUAAUAAAUCAGAGAUUGCCCUUUCAAAAGCAAACACCUAUUUUAAAAUUUUAAACCAUCAAUGAGAAGAUCAAAGAAGACCAAGAAGAAAAAACCUAACCUGUGACUCGUUCGGAAAUAAGUGGAGAAACCACCAAAGGAUGAGGGCAUAAUUUAGGAUUUACUUACUUGAUUUUCCUCAAAAUCGAGCAUUACCGAAGGGUGGAGCUUUGGUGUCGGCGAUGGUGACUCAUCAAGUGGAUUGAAUCUUUCACCGGGGACAUCAACAAGACAACCCCCUCAUAGUCAGAUUGCUCCCCCUCCCGUGUUAGGUCUUGCACGGUUGCAAAUUUGCGAUUGUAGGUGGUAUCGUCUAUUUUGGGUCUUGACAGUAAUGAUGACGUGCGAGGGUGGGAGAUUGGGAGCUUAAAUUAGUAAAGUAAAAAAUUGCAUUUUAUAUGGAUUUACAUGGAGAAUUGAGUCCCUGAUUUACAUGGAAAAUACCUUUCAUAUACACACUUUAAUAUGAUUUAAUAGUAACAUAUUAGGAGAAUUGAGUACCCGAUUUGCUAAAGUAAAAUGAUAUGAAAGGUAUAGAUGAAGUUUAAUGAUAAAUUAAAGUGUUUAUAUAGCAAAGUGAAAAUUAAAUCCUCAAUUUUUAAUAUUAUCACAAAAUAACUUUGAGCUAAAUGUGAAAAAAAAAUGGUUUUAUUAAAAUUUUCACCUUAUUUAAUUAUAUCUAUUUUAUUUUUUGAUUUAUAUAAUAUUUUUAUAAUUUUUUGAAAAUUUUAAUUAUCUUAUUUUACGUAUCGUCCAAUACCGAACCGAAACACUGAAACCAAUAUGCCUCGUGAUCCUCCGAGUCAAUGAUCGAUACCACGACUUUGAACCAUGGACCCAAUGGAAGUGGAGUCUAUAGGAACAUCUAUGGUAACGAUCCAAAAAUUAUUGCAGGCAUAAGAGAAUAUAUAAUAGCACUUUCAACAGUAAUCAUGACUAUGUAUCUUUCCUGGAAAUUUCCCACCAAUCCCAAUCCCAACCCCUUUAGAUGCAUGUGGUUGGAAUAUGCAUGAAGCUAUAUAUUACGUGGUUGGGAUAUGAAUGAGGCUAUAUACUAUUUUUAGUUGUGGAUUUUCUUAGCCCCUACUAAAACUAUGUCGCCAUUUCCUAUUCUUCUUGUAAUGUCAAGUUGGAAAGUUAAAUUUAAUUUAAAAACUUUCUAAAUAUUAAAUUUAGAGUUAGUUUCUAAAUGUUAAGGAGAACAUUUUAUUUUGAAUGAUUAUUUAGUUUUUGUAUUUGAGUAUUCAAGUCCUGAAAGGUCUCUAUAUUUCAUUAUUAAGAUUUUCUAUUUAGACAAAUGUGAGUAUAUUUAUAAACAAAAAAUUAUAUAAUAUAUACAUUUUUUAUAAAAAAAAAAAGCAAUAAAAUACAAUAAAAUUUUAAUUCUCUCCUAUUUUUAUCUUUUUUAUAAGUGUGUGUUUAUCUUUCAUCUAGAUAACUCACACAAUACUAACACAAUGAGAGUAAAAGGAGAAGGGCAAUAAAGAGUUGGGGCCGGAGAUCAUUGGAGGAACGGGUCAACUGUAGGCCGGUUGUCAAUGGGCUCAUAUAAGUAACAAAAAUUGGAAAUGGUUUCUAUAUCUUAGUGUCGUGUCUAGAAGACGACAAUCUACCUGUCAGUGUGCAGCAGAAGAGAAAGCGUGAUAUCUACUUAGAGUCAAAACAAAGGGAACCAGCUCGCAAUUCCUCCGAUACAUCAUUACCGACGUCAUAGCUCUAUUCCCCCAAUUCGUCACUACCAACGUCAUUCUAUCUCCAUUACGCAUUAUUUAAAGAGUCCCCAUGCAGAAGCUGUUCGAAACACAAGUCAGCUUUGACACAACCCCACUUCAUUGUGAUAACCUAUCCGGCACAGGUCCCUGUCCAAAGACCCAUCUUACUCUUUACAUUGUGGCCACUGAUUUGGUAUCUAAUCUCAGGCAAAAUUCACUGGUUUGAUGAAGGUUAUAGAACAAAACUUGUGUUAUUCUUAUCUUUGGUUUUGAUGAACUUUAAAGCAUUUAAAAAGAUUCAACUGGUAAGAAGUAUUUUUGCCUUGGGAAGAUGUUGGUUAUGGAUUAAAAGCAAAAAAGACCCUUGUACAUAUUUUUGGGUACCUGUCAAGCAAAUUAAUGCACAUCCGAACAUCACAACUGUUGUCUCUUAAAUUCUUCCAAUUGACCUGCUUUCGUCUUAUUGAGCGUCUGGGUUACUUGAUAAUGCAAAAACUCAUACAGUUAUUUCGAUAAAUUAAGAGCCUCGGGCAUCAAGGAAAAUCUAUUAUUACUUAAUCGAUAAAUUAAUAAUUUAUUAAUUUAAUUGCUUAUUAAUGAGAUCUCUUGAAUAAUUCUAUUAUGGAACAAGACACCAUAACAAUAUUAAAUAAAUUUUUGUCAUAGUAUGAGAAUACCACACUAGAUGUAAUAUGAGAAUGUCAUAUUUAAUUAGGGCCUUGGCUUAAAAUAAGUAAAUAAAUAAUUAAUAAUUAAAAUAUAAAUACUAGACUCACAUUUUAAACAAACACUUCUAAACUCUCAGACUCUACAAAGAACAUACACAAAGAAAUCUAGGUUCCAGAUUUGAGUGAAGAGAAAGAGAAUUUGAUUUUUUUUGUUCUUUUGUGAAAAUUUCAUGGUAAGUGAUACUUCUUAAAGUUUUCUUUUUUUUUUUUUAUAGUUUUUCUUCUUAGAAACUUUAAUUUCCUAAUAAGAUUAAAAAAGAAUUAAUGAAAACAAGAAAUUAAGAAAAUAAAUUGAAAGUAGUUAAAUCUAGAAUGAUAGAAUAAUAAUAAUAAUAAUAAUAAAAACAAUAGAAAGUUUGAUGUGUUAUUGCCGAAACCUAGAGGAAAAUUCUAUAUGAAAUAGUGGAGUUUAUGUUUUUUUUUUAAUAUAUAUAUAUAUAUAUAUAUAGGAUUUUUGGGAGAAAUAGGUAUCCAUGUAAAUAGAAAUUCUUAUGUGUAGGAGAUAAUAAUUGUAUUAAAAAAAAAUUAAUAGACUAAAACCUGGAGAUUGGUAUUCAUACAGUAAGAUUCCAAGUAUAUAGAAAGUAGAAUUACAUGGAACCUAAAAUUUGGUGCACAAUGUGAUUCUUUAUUUAAAACAAAUAGAAUUUAGUGCAUAGUAGGAUUCCUUGUUCAAAUGAAAUAGAAUUUGUUGGGAGAUACAUGGACUAAUAUUAAUUGUGAAGUUAAGAUGUAUUGUGUAUUGGUGUGAUACUGGAAGUGCAUGAGACAAACUUUUGGAGUGUUGGUAUAGGAAAUAAAGUUUUUUUAAAAAAAACUAAUCUAAUAUAAAAAUAUUGGAGGCCUCGAAUUUUAUUAUGUUAGGAUUCCAUAAUGAAUUAAAUUAAAUCAAAUUAAAUUAAUGUAAUUUAGAUUAGAUUAAUUAUAAGUGAGGGAAUUGAAAAGUUCAAGACAAUAAUUUCAAGACAAUUAAGAAAUGGAAAUUUGAUGUUUUUCCUAGAUAAAUGAAUAAUUUAUAUAUGUGUUACAAAACUAUACAUAUUUAGAAUAUAAUUAUUAUUAGAACAUUUGUUUAAAGAACCCUUAGAAUUUCUCAGGUAAUUCUUAGGAAAUUCUACUGCUUUAAUAUUUGGAGUUUGAGUCCAAUUAAGGGGACUAACUAAAUUUUUUUUUUUAUUUUAUAAAUAGUCAAAUAUAAUUUUCUUUUGAAAGUUUUAAGAAAUUGGAAAAUAAUUUUGUUAUAUUGUAUAUGUUUGCUUACACGUGUGAUAUGAAUUUUUUUGUUUAAAAGAAAAAAAAAAUUAGGACUAGUAAUCUAAUCCUUGUUAAUAAAGGAAAGUGUUUUGACUUUCAUUACCUUUGGUGAAGGUAAUGAUAAUUUGUAAACCCAAUCAUUAGAUUUGUCCUGGCUCCGCCCACCAUCAUGUAAGGAACACAUGAGGUUAGCUAUUUCUAUUAGUCUCAUUACAAUGGGCACCUCUCUAAGUCCAAAUUUUGAUGGGCAUUUUCUGUAAAAAGUUAGAAUUGUUCAUUUAAUAUGUUUGCAAAAUAAUGUUAUGCUUAAAUUAUUUUAAAAAUGACACAUGUAAUAUUAGUUGUUUUGUUGUGUUUAAAAGCAUGCUAUAAAGAUUCCUUAUUUCAUUUUUGGAAACACGCAUACUUGAUUUUCAUACCCCUCAUCGGACUUUAAACUCACUCCUUUUACUAAAAUGUUUUUAGAUAUACAUCUAAUUCUAGCAAUGAGUGAUUCGAGUAAGAGGGUUUUUCAUAGAUCCAUUUAGUUCUUAGUUUUAAGUUUAAUGUCAUAAUAACAUUUUGUUAUUAUAGUUUAAUUUAUCAUUACUAUUUUAGAUAAUAUGUUAUAUUUGAAUUAUAGAUUUCGUGCGAAAGAAUAAUUUUUUAUUAUUUCUUUGAAGAUAUAUGAUCAUUUUGAAAGUUUGCUUCUAAAAUGACCUUGGUGUUUAGCUUACGGGUCAGUAUCGUUAUACUAGACCUUCUAUUUGUAUUAUGAAACUACAUAGAUUUUUCCAUAAUAUAUUAUAUUAUAAAUUUAUCAAAUUAUUAGUUUAGCAUGAUGGCCCUAGGUUCAUAUUGAUUAAAAAAUUAUUUAAUUGAGGUUCUCUAUUAAUUAAAUAUUAAUUUAAUUGUCAGAUACUCUUAUUAUUAUUAUUUUUUAUAAAAUAUUCAAAAAUAUUCUUUGUUAUAUCUUUAACUUAAAAAUAUUUUAAAAAAAACAAGAAUAAAAAAACAUCACCAAACAAGCCCUUAUUUAUUUGUUUGUUUUUUAUGUUUUGUUUGCUAUUGUGGUUUUGUUUAGUUGUCAAGAAGUGUGAGACAGUUGAAGAAAUUGAAGUUUUUUUUUUAUAUAUAUAUUUUUUUAAUAGUAUAGGCAAAAAUUCCAAAGGUUUGAAUUGCUUCAAUUUGUUUGUUUGACUUAUGAGAAAAGGUGGGACAAAUACUUCAAUGAGUUUAUAAUCAUCAGUAGUUAACUUACUUCUCUAUCGAAAUGGUUUAAUCAUUCACACUUAAAUUAAAAGCUGGAUUAUCAAAUCCAUUUCCCUUCAUGGAAACUAGUAACUUGAUCCAUCUACUGGUCAUUUAUGGCUUGAGGUCUUGUGCCAUGCACUCUUAAGUUGAUUUCUAGCUAGAAGUCGUAGUGGUAGGGUAUUCAGGAAUCCUUGUCAUAAAAUGUUGUAAAAUUUAUUUUGUGCAAAUUGUUAAGCUACAACUCAAACCAAGGAGUUAUAUACCAUCUAGAUUGCUUGGAUGAAGAAUAUAGACCAAAUCUAUGUAUGUAUGAUAGUUGUUAAUAGGUAGCAAUAGUGGAGUUAAGCUUCAUAGGAUACUGUUUACUGAUAAAGUUUACAUCUUAUAUAGGAUGGAACGAGUUUUUGAACUUUUGUUAACAUAGAAAAACUAAUUGGGUUAGAAUUCUGGCAUAGGUUUUUGCUAUGGUGAAUCAAACAUUCGGGGGACAUCUACCUAUGACACUCCCAAGACAACUAAUUAGUUCUUCACUAGAAUGAGAUGAUCGAUCUCUAUUUGAGCAAUUGGUUAGAUUAAUCCGAUAACUUUUUUUUUAAUUCUCCCAAUAAGAAAACCUUUCUUAAUUAUUCCAACAUGAGAAAUUUUUUUUCUACCUAUGGUUUUUUCAAUGACUAAAUAUAUUUAUUCCUUAGUAUCUAGUACUUUAAGAAAAACAAAAGUUAAAUUGAUUUUAUCAAAAUCUAAAACUUAAUUAAGUCAGAUAAUUAAAAUAUAAUUAAUUGAAAGUUAUCUUAAGCACAUUAAAUUUUACCUCUUACCACCUAAAAUGAUUUCAAAUUUUAUAGUUGUGAUAGAUCCAAGUUGUCCGAAAAGGUCUAUAGAAUAUGCAUUCUUUUACUUAUAAACAAUGUCUUAAAUAGUCGAGGUAGAGUUAUAUAGGGUCAUGGAUUUCUUAUUUUAUUCGAUGUGGGAAAUCAUAAUACACACUUAUCUCCUGUGAAGAGGGACCGUAACCAGGUUGGCUCAUAUAAAAUAACUAAAUUGGAAAUUGGUCUCUAGAUCUUAACUUUGGGUCGCGUCUAGAGGACGACAAACUACCGGUCAGUGUACAGCAGAAGAGAAAGUGAGACAGGAUACUUAUACAUCUCUUGAAAUUAAUUAGUCUUUGAGUCAAAACAAAGAGGAAGCAGCUCACAAUUCCUCCAAAACAUCAUUGCAAACGUCAUAGCUCUGUUUCCCCAAAUUCGUCAUUACAAACGUCAUUCCAUACUCUGCCUUCCUUAUUUAAAGAGUCCCAUGCAGAUGCAGAUGCAGUUCGAUACACAAGUCAGAUUUGAUCAUCCUCUACAUAGACCCAACCGAAGUAUCUCCACUUCAUCUUCUUCCCCUACAAUGACACAACCCCACUUCAUUGUGAUAACCUAUCCCGCACAAGGCCACAUCAACCCUUCUCUCCAACUGGCUAAGCGCCUCAUACGUGCUGGUGCCCAUGUCACAUUCGUCACUAGCACCUAUGCCAGUGAGCGCAUGACCAAAACCCCCACCAUGGAUGGUUUAAAAUUUGUCACAUUCCCGGACGGCUGCGACAGUGGCCUCAAGCAAAGCGAUGCCCUCCAAGGCUUCAUGUCUGAGCUUGAGCGUCUUGGCUCCCAAGCUCUUACCGACCUCCUCAUAGCCAGCGCUAAUGAAGGUCGUCCCGUUACUUGCAUAAUCUACGGCAUCCUGAUUCCUUGGGUAGCAGAGGUGGCGCAUAGUCUUCACAUCCCCUCCGCACUUUUUUGGAGUCAACCUGUCUCUGUUUUUAAUAUCUAUUAUUAUUAUUUUUGUGGCUAUGGAGAGGUCAUUCGCAAGAAAGUCAGUGACUCCUCGCCUUCCAUUGAAUUACCAGGACUGCCCUUGCUCGGUAGCCGUGACAUUCCCUGUUUCCUACUCCCCUCAAAUGCAAAUGAAUACAACUUUGUCCUUUCAGCGUUUCAGAAGCACGUAGAGAUGCUCCACCGUGACACCAACCCAACGGUACUGAUAAACACUUUCGAUGCAUUGGAACCAGAGGCCCUAAGGGCCGUCAGUAAGUUUAAGUCGAUUGGAGUUGGACCCUUGUUUCCAACCGCUUUCUUGGGUGGAAAAGAUCCAUCCGAUACUUCAUUUGGAGGUGAUCUGUUCCGUCGUUCAAAGGAUUAUAUUGAAUGGCUGAACUCAAAGCCUGAAUCUUCUGUCAUUUAUGUGUCAUUUGGAAGCCUCGCGGUGUUAUCGAAGCAACAGUCAGAGGAGAUUGCUCGUGGAUUGCUGGACAGUGGCCGGCCUUUCCUGUGGGUCAUAAGAGCCAAGGAGAAGGGAGAAGAGGAGAAAGAAGAAGAUAAACUAAGUUGCUACGCAGAAUUAGAACAACAAGGUAUGAUAGUACCAUGGUGUUCUCAGGUUGAGGUUCUCUCAAAUCCAUCACUGGGUUGUUUCGUGACUCAUUGUGGGUGGAAUUCAACCUUGGAGAGCUUGGCUUCUGGGGUGCCAGUUGUGGCAUUUCCUCAGUGGACCGACCAAUCCACGAAUGCAAAGCUAGCCGAAGACGUGUGGAAAACGGGUGUACGGGUGACCGUGAACCAAGAAGGAAUAGUUGAAAGCGAUGAGAUUAAGAGGUGCUUGGAAUUGGUCAUGGGAGAUGGAGAGGAGGCGAAAGAAAUGAGAAGGAAUGCAAAGAAAUGGAAGGGUUUGGCAAGGGAGGCUGUGAUGGAAGGUGGAUCAUCUGACAAGAAUCUUAAGAAUUUUAUGGAUGAGGUCAUACAAGGUUACUAGCUAGAUAUUGUGGUUGUAUCUCUUGGAGUUUAUGUUAAGACUCCCCGAUUAAUUUAAAUAUUUUACAAGAAGAUUUUUAUUAUUUAUGAUGUUAAUACAAGUAGUAGUAUUAAUUAAUGGUAGAGGGCAUAUCUAAAAUUAUGGGAGAUUCAUUGCUUCCUGAAGGCCCUAUCACAAAGGAUCUGUCAAAUGCGUGGCUAAGGUGCUGUUUGGUAAAUGUCCGUUACCAGCCAAAAUUUUGCAAUUAUUGCUAAUGGGAAUCAGGGAAACCCCAAACUGGCCUUGAUGGUCCUUGCGUGAAGACCCAUCCAAUUCUUUACAUUGUGGCCACUGAUUUGGUGUCUUAUCCUCUCAUGCCCAUCACUUCAUGUUUACAAAUUGAUAUUGUAUUCAUAGCUAUUUUUUAUGAAGGUUCAAUUGGCAAGAAGUAUUUUUGCCUUGGGAAGAUGUUGGUUAUGGAUUUAAAGCAAAAUAAAAGAUUAAAAAAAUGAUCCUUGUACAAAUUUUUGGGUGCCUCUAUUAAUUAAGUGAAUAUUAUUAUUUAAUUGAUAAAUUAAUAAUUUAUUAAUUUAAUUACUUAUUAAUUAGAUCUCUGGAAUAAUUCUAUUAUGGAACCUAUCUUGCACUAAGAAGCAUCCAUAGCGAUAAUAAUAUUAAAUAAAUUUUUGUUAUAGUACAAGAAUGUUACAUCAGACCUUUUUUUUUUUUUUUUUCAUAUUAGGAAUAGUUAAAGAUGAGAUUUAAGUAAACAUAAGUUUUAAGAAAAAAUAACACAUAUAUUUUACGAAGGAUUCUUGAUAAAACAUAUGAAUUUAAUUAUAUAUUAGAAAAUUAUUAAUUUUUAUAAUAUGUGGAUUUUAUAUGAAACUACAUAGAUUUUUUUUAUAAUGUAUUAUUUUAUAAAUUUAUCAAAUUAUUAGUUUAGCACGAUGACCCCAAAUUUAGAUUAAUUAAAAAAAUAUUUAAUUGAAGUUCUUAAUUAAUUAAAUAUUAAUUUAUUAUAAAGUUUUAUUGUAUUUUAUUUUCAUGUUCUGAAAACUAGUCGAUUUGAUUGGUUUGAGCAUUGAUUGACUAUGUAUUUUACAUAUGAGAUCGAUUAUGAGUUGCACUUUCAUCCCAAGGUAUUUAAAAAUUAGGAAAAUCAAUCCCAAGGUAUCUAUUUUACUUUUCUUAGUCUAUUCACCAUUGUCCAAACACUCCAUAAGUGGAAUGUAACUUGGAGGGGCUUGAAUAUGCAGAAUUUUAUAAUUUUGCACAUUAAUGUCUCAGAGUGUUAAAAUCUUUUACAACUAAUUGUAGAUAAGUUUAGUAUUGACAAAUAAUUUUAUUACAAUUAAAUUAUUUUUUAAUUUAUAAAAAGGUUAAAAUAAAGAUAUUUAAGAAAUAUAGUACCUUAACAAUUAAAAAUAACAUUGGUUGAUGAUAUCUAAGAAAUUCAAUGUUUUCUUCAACCUAAAAUGAAUAUAAAAAUUUGGUAUGAGGAUUGUUUGCUCGACUAUUGAAACUUAUUGACAACAUAGGAAGAGACAAAACUUUUGGGGAUAUAUUAAUAGAGUGAGGAAUUUGGUACUUGAUUCAUAGAGUAAAAGUUGAACAAAAGCAUCAAGAAACAUCGGGGUUGGAAAUGAUAGUGCACUUUUUAAAAGUCAUAGGUGGAAAGAGGGAAAAUUAGAACAGAUGAACCUUAAUUUUUUGGUAUUUUUGAUAGGUGUUUAGUAAAAUAAUUUAAUAUUACAAUUUAUAGUUAAAAAUGACUUAGUAUAUAAGCAGUUAAAAUGAUUUAGGGCUUGUUUGACCGUGUUUUUUAAAAUUUUCUUUUAAAAUAGAGAAUAAAAAUAGUGAACAUCAAGUUGUUGGAUGGACCAAUUUCUACUCAAUGCCAAAGACAGAACCACACGAAUAGUAGUUAGUUUAACCACAAAACUAAAGGUUUCAAGGAAAUCAAAACCGUGAGUUUGAUGAAAUCCUUUCACCGCUAAAUGUGCCUUAUAACAAUCAAUAGUUCCAUUAGGUUUAAACUUCAAUUUAUAAACCCAGUAACAUCUAAUGGUAUUCUGAUUAGACCAAGGAAGAAUGAUGACCUAUGUUUUAUUUUUCAUAAGAGCUUCAAAUUCAAGAUGCAUAGCCUAUUGCCAUUUAGGAACUUUAGCAAUUUCCUUAAAGGAAUUCAGUUCACAAAGUGGGGGAAAAAUAGUCUUAGUAGGAGACAAAAAUAACUUGAGUUCGAAAAUGCCAUUUUUGGCACGCAUUAUCAUGAGAUGACAAGUAUAGUAUGAACAUAAGAGGAAAGAGGUUGGGUUGUUGGAAUAGGUAUAACCUUAGAAAAGGAAAUUGGCACACUAGAAUUAGAUAUUGGAACCAACUUUGAAGGUGGACAUAAUGGGGGAGGUAAGAGGGAAGAUAUUGGAGAUGAUGGUACUACCAAGGGAAUGACACAAUGAGAGAGGGAAACAUAAUAAGGAGUCUGAACUAUGGAAGACUUAGCAAAUGGGAAAUCUAGUUCAUAAAAAAUAACAUGUUGUGAUAUAUGUAUUUUAUGAUUGGACAUGUUUAAAUAAAGAUAUUCUUUAUGCUUAGAACUAUAGUUGAUAUUUUAACGGAUUGAUAUGCAAGUUUAUGACAAUUAAAAGGAUGUAGAAAAGGAUAACAAAUGCAACCAUAGACAUGAAGAUAAUAAUAAUUUGGUAGACAAUGGUAAAGAGUCUUAUACGGAUCAAGAAGAGAUAUUCAACAUAGAGGUAGGAAGUCUAUUAAUCAAAUAUAAGGUAGAUUGGAAAGCAAAAGGUCAAUAUUUAAGUGGAAUAGAAGCAUGAGCAAGCAAAGAAAGACAUAUUUCAACCACAUGUCUAUGUUUUCUCUCCACAUGACCGUUUUGUUGAAAAGUAGAUGGACAAGAUACUCUAUGCAGAAUCCUAAAUUUACAUAAAGUAUCAAUAAAGGCUUGAAACUCCCCUCCCUAAUUAGUUUGAAGCACUCUAACUUUAGUGUAAAAUUGAGUCUCAAUUAUCACUUUAAAUUGCAAAAAAGCAGAGAUAGCUUGAUUUUUAGAAGCUAGUAGAUACAACCCCAAGAAAAUCUUGUAUGGUCAAUAAGAAAAAAGUACAAAGUAUCUUGCUCCAUUAGCACCAACAAUAGCGGUAGGACCCCAUAGAUCAAAAUGUAUAAGAGCAAAAGGCUAAGAGACUCUAGAUUUAGACAAAGUAAAAGGUAAGUGAUGACUCUUUGCCAUUUGACAAGGUUCACAAAUACCUAUCCAAUGUUUUGAGGGCAUACUAUAAGCACUCAAAACUUUAUUGACUAUUUUACGUGCAAGAUGACCUAAUUAAAAUGCCAUAGAACUACCUUAUUGGGAAGUUGUAAUGCAAAUAACAUACACAGGACCUCAAUUGCCAAGCUUGUUCUUCUAACAAUUUUAUUACAAUUGGAAUCUAUAUUUUUUACCAGAAGCUGAAGAUGACAAUUUGUAUAAACCAUGGUUAAGGUUGCCUUGGAGAAGAGCCUUCUUUGAAGCUUGAUCCUUCAUCACAAAUCCAUUAGUAAAGAAUUCCACAGUAACAUUAUUGUCAGUACACAACUUAUUCACACUUAUCAGAUUGGUUGUAAGUUGUGGAACAUGUAAAAUAUUCUUUAGAUUUAAAGACUGAGAAACCGACAAAAUAGUAGAGUAUCCAAUAUUUGAGAUAUUUAAGCAAUUACCGUUUCCAAUGACGACUUUGUCCAAACUAGCAAAUGGAGUAUGUGCAUUCAAGUUGUUGAAAUUUAGAGUUAGGUGAUAUGUAGCUCUAGUAUCCAUGUACCAACUUCCAUCUCCAAUAGUGGCCAGAGUUGCAAUCAUUGCAGCAAGAUGAGGUUACUCAAUUCUUAGGGUUCUUCUUUCUCAUUGGUUUUUGACUCAGAUGAGUUAACUUAGUUCCUAGAGCUCUUCCUCAAUGACAAACAAUUCUGAUUAGAGUGUGGCAAUGAGUUCAAUGAGCAAGCUGGUGAUUGGUCAAGGCCUCACCAGUGAUGAGGAUGUUGGUGAUAGCAACAAUCUAGUUGGAGAAAUGAUUUUUUCCAACACCUUCAAACACCGUAAAAAUGAUCAUAUCAUCAUCAUGAUCUUAGAUAAGAGAAACUUAAAGUUUUUUUUUUUAUUUCAAUUUCAAAUUCAAAACAAAAUUGCAGAGCACUAGAUACAAAAAAAAGAAAAAAGAAAAUAAAAGAACAAAAAAUCACUAUAGAAACCUUAGAAAACACACUAGGAAGAAAAAUCAUAGACAAACUCACAGAAGAAUUUUAUGGCUUUAGGAGUCGGAGCCGGAGCUAGAGAAGAGUCUUAAUGGACAUUGAGGAGGGACAAGAAGAGGUGUUCAACUAUAAUUUAUAUAGGCUAUAUAUAUUGUAAAUGUUGGCUUUAAAAUGUAUCUGGUAGUGACCCAAUGGAAGUGGAGUCUAUAGGAACAUCUAUGGUAGCGAUCCAAAAAUUAUUGCAGUUAUAGGAGAAUAUAUAAUAGCACUUUCAACAGUAAUCGUGACUAUGUAUAUUUCCUGGAAAAUUUCCCACCAAUCCCAAUCUCAAUCCCUUUAGAUGCAUGUGGUUGGAAUAUGCAUGAGGCCAUAUAUUAUGCGGUUGGGAUAUGAAUGAGGCUAUAUAAUAUUUUUAGUUGUGGAUUUUCUUAGCCCCUACUAAAACUAUAUUGCCAUUUCCUAUUCUUCUUGUAAUGUCAAGUUGGAAAGUCAAACUUAAUUUAAAAACUUUUUAAAUAUUAAACUUAGAGUUAGAGUUAGGUGGUGUUUGUUUUUUUUUUUUGUUGAAAACAAUUUGUUUUCAGAAUUUAAGUCGUUUGUUUUUCUAUUUUUUCAUGACUUAUUAUAUACUUUUUACCAAACAGAAAAAACCAAAAUAUGUAGUUUUUUCUAAAUAGAAAAAAUAAUAUGUUCAUUUUUUUUACUUUUUAAUACUUAAUAGAAAUAAAAUACUACAAAAACAAACAACCUAAUAUUUAACAUUAUUAAGUAUUAAGGUUCUAUUUAGAAUUAAAUAAAAAAAAAUAAAUGCCACAUUAGUUUCUAAAUGUUAAGGAGAACAUUUUAUUUUGAAUGAUUAUUUAGUGUUUGUAUUUGAGUAGUUAAGUCGUCAAAGGUCUCUGUAUUUGAUUAUUAAGAGUUUCUAUUUGGAUAAAUGUGAGUAUAUUUAUAAACAAAAAUUCAUAUAUAUAAUAUAUAUAUAUAUAUUUUAAAAAAGCAAUAGAAUACAAUAAAUUUUUAAUUCUCUCCUAUUUUAUCUUUUUUAUAAGUGUGUGUUUCUCUUUCAUCUAGACAACUCACACAAUACUAACACAAUGAGAGUAAAAGGAGAAGGGCAACAAAGAGUUGGAGCCGGAGAUCAUUGGAGGAACGGGUCAACUGUAGGCCGGUUGUCCAUGGGCUCAUAUAAGUAACAAAAAUUGGAAAUGGUUUCUAUAUCUUAGUGUCGUCUAGAAGACGACAAUCUACCUGUCAGUGUGCAGCAGAAGAGAAAGCGUGAUAUCUACUUCGAGUCAAAACAAAAGGGAACCAGCUCGCAAUUCCUCCGAUACAUCAUUACCGACGUCAUAGCUCUAUUCCCCCAAUUCGUCACUACCAACUUCAUUCUAUCUCCAUUACGCAUUAUUUAAAGAGUCCCCAUGCAGAUGCUGUUCGAAACACAAGUCAGCUUUGACACAACCCCACGUCAUUGUGAUAACCCAUCCGGCACAGGUCCCUGUCCAAAGACCCAUCUUACUCUUUACAUUGUGGCCACUGAUUUAGUAUCUAAUCUCAGGCAAAAUUCACUGGUUUGAUGAAGGUUAUAGAACAAAACUUGUGUUAUUCUUAUCUUUGUUUUUGAUGAACUUUAAAGCAUUUAAAAAGAUUCAACUGGUAAGAAGUAUUUUUGCCUUGGGAAGAUGUUGGUUAUGGAUUAAAAGCAAAAAAGACCCUUGUACAUAUUUUUGGGUACCUGUCAAGCAAAUUAAUGCACAUCCGAACAUCACAACUGUUGUCUCUUAAAUUCUUCCAAUUGACCUGCUUUCGUCUUAUUGAGCGUCUGGGUUACUUGAUAAUGCAAAAACUCAUACAGUUAUUUCGAUAAAUUAAGAGCCUCAGGCAUCAAGGAAAAUCUAUUAUUACUUAAUCGAUAAAUUAAUAAUUUAUUAAUUUAAUUGCUUAUUAAUGAGAUCUCUUGAAUAAUUCUAUUAUGGAACAAGACACCAUAACAAUAUUAAAUAAAUUUUUGUCACAGUGUAAGAAUGCCGCAAUAGAUGUAAUAUGAGAAUGUGAUAUUUAAUUAUGGGCCUCCGCUUAAAAUAAGUAAAUAAAUAAUUAAUAAUUAAAAUUUAAAUAAAAUAAAUAAUUAAUUAAUAAUUAAAAUACAAAUACUAGACUCACAUUCUGAGCAGCCGCUUCUAAACUCUUAUACGCUACAAAAAAACAUACACAAAGAAAUCUAGGAUUCUAGAUUUAAGUGAAGAGAAAGAGGAUUUGAUCUUUUUGUUCUUUCUCGAAAAUUUCAUGGUAAGUGAUACUUCUUAAAGAUUUUUUUUUUCAGUUUUUCUUCUUAGAAACUUUAAUUUCCUAAUAAGAUUCAGAAAUAAUUAAUAAAAACAAGAAAUUAAGAAAUACAUUGAAAGUAAUUAAAUCUAAUAUGAUAGAAACCUAAUAAUAAUAAUAAAAAUAAUAGAAAGUUUGAUGUAUUAUUUCUGAUACCUAAAGGAAAAUUCUAUAUGAAAUUGUGGAGUUAAUGUUUUUUUUUUUAAAUAUAUAAUAAUAACAAAAAACAAUAGAAAGUUUGAUGUGUUAUUGCGUAAACCUAGAAGAAAAUUCUAUAUGAAAUAGUGGAGUUAAUGUUUUUAAAAUAUAUAUAUAUAUAUAUACUAGAAAUUCUUAUGUGUAGGAGAUAAGAAUUCUAUUGGAGGCCUCCAAUUUUAUUAUGUUAGGAUUCCAUAAUGAAUUAAAUUAAAUUAAAUUAAUAUAAUUUAGAUUAGAUUAAUUAUAACUGUGGGAAUUGAAAAGCUUAGGAUGACAAUUAAGAAAUGGAAAUAUGAUAUUUUUUCUAGAUAAAUGAAUAAUUUAUAUAUAUGUUAAAAAACUAUAUAUAUUUAGAAUAUAAUUAUUAUUAGAACAUUAGUUUAAAGAACCCUUAUAAUUUCUCAGGUAAUUCAAAGGAAAUUCUACCGCUUUAAUAUUUGGAGUUUAAGUCCAAUUAAGGGGACAAAUUAAAAAAUAUUUAAGUAUAAUUUUCUUUUGAAAGUUUCAAGAAAUUGGGAAAUAAUUUUGUUAUAAGGUAUAUGUUUGCUUAGAUGUGUGAUAUGAAUUUUUUUUUGUUUAAAAGAAAAAAAAAAUAGGACUAGUAAUCUAAUCCCUGUUAAUAAAGGAAAGUGUUUUGACUUUGGGUCAUAUAAAGUAACUAAAUUGGAAAAUGGUCUCUAGAUCUUAACUUUGGGUCGCGACUAGAAGACGACAAACUACCGGUCAGUGUACAGCAGAAGAUAAAGUGAGACAGGAUACUUAUACAUCUCUUGAAAUUAAUUUGUCUUUGGUCAAAACAAAGAGGAAGCAGCUCACAAUUCCUCCAAAACAUCAUUGCAAACGUCAUAGCUCUGUUUCCCCAAAUUCGUCAUUCCAUACUCUGCCUUCCUUAUUUAAAGAGUUCCAUGCAGAUGCAGAUGCAGUUCGAAACACAAGUCAGAUUUGAUCAUCCUCUGCAUAGACCCAACCGAAGUAUCUCCACUUCAUCUUCUUCCCCUACAAUGACACAACCCCAUUUCAUUGUGAUAACCUAUCCGGCACAAGGCCACAUCAACCCUUCUCUCCAACUGGCUAAGCGCCUCAUACGUGCUGGUGCCCAUGUCACAUUCGUCACUAGCACCUAUGCCGGUGAGCGCAUGGCCAAAACCCCAACCAUGGAUGGGUUAAAAUUUGUCACAUUCCCGGAUGGCUGCGACAGUGGCCUCAAGCAAAGCGAUGCCCUCCAAGGCUUCAUGUCUGAGCUUGAGCGUCUUGGCUCCCAAGCUCUUAUCGGCCUCCUCAUAGCCAGCGCUAAUGAAGGUCGUCCCGUUACUUGCAUAAUCUACGGCAUCCUGAUUCCUUGGGUAGCAGAGGUGGCGCGUAGUCUUCACAUCCCCUCCGCACUUUUUUGGAGUCAAC
rnacentral:lncRNA from 1 species